UACAGAGGGUGCAAGCGUUAAUCGGAAUUACUGGGCGUAAAGCGUGUGUAGGUGGUUAGAUAAGUUAGAUGUGAAAUCCCCGGGCUUAACCUGGGCACUGCGUUUAAGACUGUUUAGCUAGAGUACUGUAGAGGAUAGUGGAAUUUCCAGUGUAGCGGUGAAAUGCGUAGAUAUUGGAAGGAACACCAGUGGCGAAGGCGACUAUCUGGACAGAUACUGACACUGAGACACGAAAGCGUGGGGAGCAAACAGG
rnacentral:rRNA from 1 species